rnacentral:sRNA from 1 species
CAGGGGUGCUGGGCUAGACCAAGCUCUGCCUGAACCUUAGUUUCAGCCCUGGAGCCCUUGAGAGAGCUCUGCUGUUGGUUAGUAAUUACUGUGAAAGUAUUCAGCUUCUCCAUUACAAGGACGGGCGAAAACAGAAGAGCAGAUUGCAGCGGAGGAGGCCUGGAAUGAGACGGAGAAAGUGUGGCUGGUCCAUAGGGACGGCUUCUCACUGGCCAGUCAACUCAAAUCUGAGGAGCUCAACUUGCCUGAGGGGAAGGUGCGUGUGAAGCUGGACCACGAUGGGGCCAUCCUGGAUGUGGACGAGGAUGACGUGGAGAAG